UAACAACAAUGAUGGUGCUGACUAUCCAGCAGUUGAAGAUAAACCUGAAGAACUAACAGUUGAAGAAAAACAUGAAGAACAAGCAAUUGAAGAGAAACCUGAAGAACCAGUGGCCACAGAGAAACCUGAAGAACCAGCGAUUAAGGAAAAAGCUGAUGAACCAGCAGUGCAAGAGAAACCUGAAGAACCAGCUGUGGAAAAGAAACCUGAAGAACCAGCAGUCGAGGAGAAACUUGACGAACCACCAGUUGAAGAGAAAUCAGAAGAACCAGUAGUUGAACAAACACCUGCAGGACCAGCAUGGGAAGAAACAUCUAAAGAACUAGCAUUUGAAGAGAAACCUGAAGAACCAGCAGUUGAAAAAACACCUGAAGAACUAGCAGUUGGAAAGAACCCUGAAAAAACAGCAGUCGGAGAGAAACAUGAAAAAGUAACUCUCUUGGAAAAGGUGAGGAUCAAGCACAAUCACAAAUUUUAUCCAUCCUAUUAGUUAUGUAUGCGCAACAAUUCACAUUUGCCUGUUGGAAGAUUAAGUUAAACUUUAAAUUCUUCUUGCAGAAUAUACCAAUUAUAGAGUUAAACGAGAAGAAUAACAGUGCAACUCCAUGCAAUACCAACAAUGAUGUUGCUGACUAUCCAGCAGUUGAGGAAAAACCUGAAGAACCAGCGAUUGAGAAAAAACCUGAAGAACCAAUGGCUAAGGAGAAACUUGAAGAACCAAUUGUUGAGGAUAAACCUGAAAAAUCAGUGAUAGAGGAGAAAUCUGAAAAACUAGCAACUGAAGAAACACUUGGAGAGCAAGCAGGGGAGGAAACACCUGAAGCACUAGCAGUUGAAGAGAAACCUGACAAAUCAACAGUUGAAGAGACAGUUGAAGAACUAGCUAUUGAACAGAAACCUAAAAAAACAGCAGUUGAAAAAGAGAAACCUGAAGCCGUAACUCUCCUGGAAAAGGUGAUCAAGCACUGUCACAGAGAUUCCUUGCUCUAUACGUGCAAGGAAUUUACAUCUACUUAUCUACUGAAAGAUUUAGUGAAACUUUAAAUUCUUCUUGCAGAAUAUGCCAGUUGUAGAUUCAAAGGACAAGAUUAACAGUGAAAUUCCAUGCAAUGCCAACAAUGAUGUUUUUGACUAUCCAGCAGUUGAGGCAAAACCUGAAGAACUAGCAAUUGAAAAAAAAUAUGAAGAACCAGUAGUUAUAUUGGAGAAACCUGCAGAACUAGCAGUUGAGGAGACACCUGAAAAAUCAGUAGUUGAAGAGAAGCCUGAAAAACCAGCAGCACGGGAAGAAGCACUUGAAGAACCAGCAUGGGAAGAAACACCUGAAGAACCAACAGUUGAAGAGAAACUUGAUAAACCAGCAACUGAAAAAGAGAAACCUGAAAAGGUAACUUUCCGCGAAAAGGUGAGGAUCAAGCACUAUCACAAAGUUCGCCCAUCCUAAUAGUCUUGUAUGUGCAAGGAAUUCACAUAUGCUUUUUUAUUGAAAGACUAAGUGAAACCUUCAAUUCUUCUUGCAGAAUAUGCCUGUUGUAGACUCAAAUGGUAAGACUGGCAGUAAAAUUACAUGCACUACCAAAAAAGAUGUUGCUGAUAAUCCAGCAGUUGAGGAUGAAGAACCAGCAGUUGAGGAUAAACCUGAUGAACCAACAGUUGAAGAAAAACCUGAAGAACCAGCAAUUGAAGGAAAACUUGAGAAACUGGCAGUUGAAGAUAAACUUGAGGAACCAGCUUUUGAACAGAACCCUGAGGAAACAGCAGUUGAACAGAACCCCGAGGAACCGCCAGUUGAAGAAAAACCUGAGGUACCAGUAGUUGACGAAAAAGCUGAAGAACUAGUGGUUGAAGAGAAACUUGAAGAACCAUCAGUUAAAGAAAAGCCGGAAGAACAAAGCAGGGAAGAAACCGAAGCUCCCAUAAAAGAGGCAAAGCAUAACCAGAAUGCAAAUGAAGCAAGCAGCAGUCUGCCAACAGCUAUGCUAAGCCAUCCGCCUGCUCAAGGGACAACAAUGACCAACCCAAUAUUGGGAGAACCAAUUAGUAUUGACGAACCUAAAAAUGUGCAACAGCUAGAUUCUCAAGAAAUAUCAGAAAUCGAUGAUGCAAUGCAGAGAGAUGAAGAUAACAUAAAGCAGAAGGAUGAGGCUUCUUUCACUGAAGAACAGAAGUUUACACCACAGAGUGAGUAAUACUAGUUCACAGACAUGCUUUCCCUAUCCAAUUGAUUUUAUUUGCAAUGGAAAAUGGUGACACACUUUAGAUAACAGAUCAAAUCGAUUUAACCAUAGUCUUACUCGCAAAAAGUAGAGAAAAAUACAAAUGGAACCAAUCUCUAAAAGGAAGCUGAAAUGGAGAGAAGCACCAGAGACAAGAUGCCUUUCUGUUUUGGAGAAACCUCGAAAAAGUAGAAUGCACAUCCACAGUAUUUAGCAAUAAUGAUCAUCUAUCAUUACAUAUAUGAACAUAAUUUAUUUAUUACUACAUUGAUAUAAUAAAGAAAUCCUAUGAUAUGCUUUUGCUAAGAUAUUAGGGCUAGCAGCAUUCAUUAAGCCAUAAAUUCCAAUAUGGAUGUAACAAGCACUUUUUUGGGGGUUCAAAGAGAUGCACUUUCUAGUCACUUCAAUAAUGACUAGAUGUGGUAUUAACUACUACCGACAUAUUGCAGGUUAUGACAAUCAAAAUACUUCGACAGGGGAUAGUUUCUUAAAUAAGAACAUGUUCGCUGAAGGUGAAGCUGUGCACAUUAAUAGUCAAGAGGAUCUAAUCAGGCAAGAAACUUCAGGAAGCACAAAAUCUGAGAUAAAUCCAAAUUCAAGUAAAGGAACAGAAAAUGAGGCAAGUGAUAUUGCUAAUAGAGAAGGAUCAAGCAGACUUGGUUAAGUAAAUAAUUUAGUUGCUCUUCGUCCUUAUUGUUCUAAACUUGAUGAGCUACUUGGUUAUGCAGGUAAAUGACCAUCCAGAAGGACCAGAAGUACCAAAACAAACUGAUGAAACGGAAAAAUGUAUAGUACAGAAGCAAGAAGAUUCCGUUCGCAACCAGGACGAACUGGCUGUUGAAGAAAAAAUGAGAUCUUGUGAAGAGGUUGAAACAAAGGUAUUAGAUGAUCUGGCUUCUAUUAAUACUCUGAUCUUUCCUGUCCAUAGACUAAUGAUAGCCAAAACUAUAACUUCAAAACAUAUAAACAAACUUAAAGAUAUAAAUGCUGGUGAUGGAAUGGAACAAAUAAAAACAUUAUGGAAAAAGAAGAAAAGACUUUGGACAAAAUUCUGACGUCCACCAAAGAAGAAAUUGGUACCAAGAACUCUGAAGAAGGCCAAGUGGUUUCAGAGAUUCCCAGUCAAGAGUUUAAGUGACCAUAGAAGCCUGUUCUUAAUUCAUAUAUGUAACUCUCAGAUAUAAAGAUGCCUUCUCUCUUUCUACUAAAAUCACAAAAUUCCCUCUUUUUCAAAUCUGCAGAACUUUCAACAAGCUAAUUUAAUCAGAGAUGAAGCUUUAUUGAAAGAUGAGCAUGGAGUCGAGAACUUCGUGGUAGUUUCUUCAGAAGAAAUUAGUUGUGAAGGCUCUAUUGAAAAGUUAAACGAAAUGAGAACCUGAGAAUGAAUCAGCCAAUUAGCAUCAAGGCACUCAUAUGACAACCAUUCACUGAGGGUCUUAAGUUUAUUGCAUGCAUAUGAAUUAUCUUGCCACCUUGUCUUUCUGGGAGAAAUAUUAAAAUUCAAGUCUGAAAGUAUUUGAAGUAUAUAGUUCGUAGUAACUACUAACUACUAUAAAUUUAAAGUUCUCCAUAUAAAACAAAAUAAGUCUUCACUUCCUUUCCCAGAGUUUUUGUUUAUUCUGUAGUUAUUGCACAAAAUGGGAAACAAUAGAUGAUAAGAUGAUAUAUACAAGAAAUAGAAAAUUAAUUCACUGCUGAUAGAGUAUAUUCUAUUGCACAAAUAUCAACCAUCUUUGCUCUUUUAUUUGUUUAUUUAUUUAUUUUGUUCGAGGCUAUUACAAGUGAGACAUCCUAGUAUCAUUGGGAUUCAUAUGCGCUUCUUUUGAAAACUAAGUCGAAACAAAAAUUAGCCAAAUGCUGACAAAUGGGUAUGACUUAUUUUUCUGAAAAAGAACGGACCAUUGACAUUGCAAAUCGAGUAUUCCUUUGAGUCUUUGAAACAAUAAGUUGCAAGGGAAGGUUUAAGCAAAUUUCAAAUAUUGCAGGUAGAUGCCUUCAUGCAUUUAUUCUGAUCAUUUUAUUGGUUUUCUUCGGCAGACUCUUUUAACAUUGACAAAAAGAAAGAUUCUUCUUGGAGAAUUAUCAGUUAAUAAAGGAAGAGGCAGUGGAAACUCUUUCUCGGGGAAUUCCAAAAUAUGACCUUAAGAGAAUUCACAUGACGUUAAGCUAGAAACCAAGGACUUAAACCACUAGGCCACGGCAACUGUAUUUCAGUUAUAAACAGGAAUCUUGCUAAAAUAAGAAGUCCCAAAAAUCAUCAUGUAGACAUCUGUUAACUUGAUAUAAUGCUCGGCAGUUGACAAUUACUAAAACCAUCUGGAGAUUAAGAUAUGAACACCUUCUUCUCUCGUUAGAAUGAUUCUUAUAUGCAUAACUCCUUGUCCUUUUCUCACCAGUGUAUGUAACAUACUAAACAAUGGUAGCACUCAAAAUAUUCUGAGCAAUCACGAUCAUUGUUGCAGAACAGUUGAGCAUGUGUAAUAACCCUAUGCGAGAUGCAACCAAAAGAAUUCCACCAUCCUAUUAGUUCCGUAUGUGUAAGGAAUUCACAUCUACUUAUCUAUUGAAAGACUAAGUGAAACUUUAAAUUCUUCUUGUAGAAUAUGCCGGUUGUAGACUCGAACGACAAGACUGACAGUGAAAUUUCAUGCAAUACCGACAAUGAUGUUGCUGACCAUCCGGCAGUUGCAGAAAAACCCGAUGAUUCAGCAGUUGAAGAGAAACCCGAGGAAUGGAUAGUUGAAGAGAAACUGGAAGAAACAGCCGUUAAGGAGAAAGCCGAAGAACCAAAAGUUGAGGAGAAACUCGAAGAACCAGCAAUUGAGGAGAAACCUGACAAACCAGCGGUUGAAGGGACACCUGAAGAACCUGCAGUGAAAGAAACACCUGAACAACCAACGUUUGAAGAGAAACCUCAAGAACCAGCAAUUCAGGAGAAACCUGAAGAACCAACAGUUGAAAAGAAACCUGAAGAACCAACAAUUGAUGAAGAACUUGAAGAACCAACAGUUGCGGAGAAACCCGAAGAACCAGCAGUUAAAGAAAAACAUGUAGAACCAGCAAUUGAAGAAAAACGUGAGGAACCACAAGUUGAAGAAAAACAUGAGGAACCAGCAGUUGAAGAAAAAACUGAAGAACCAGCAGUUGAAGAAAAACCUAAAGAACCAAAAGUUGAGGAGAAACCUAAAGAACCAGCGGCUGAGGAGAAACCCGAAGAACCAGCAGUGAAAGAAACACCUGAAGAACCAGCGGUUAAAGAGACACCUGAGGAACUAGCAGUUGAAGAGAAACCUGAAGAACCAGCAAUUGAAGAGAAACCUGAAGAACCAGUAGCUGACAAAAAACUUGAGCAACCAACAAUUGAGGAGAAACCUGAAGAAUCAAUAGUUGAAAAGACUGAAGAACCAGCAGUUGAUGAAAAAGGUGAAGAACCGUCAGUUGAAGAAAUACCUGAGGAGUCGGCAGUUGAAAAUUUUGAAGAAGCAGCAGUAGAAGAGAAACCUGAAGAACCAGCAGUUAAGGAAAAAACUGAAGAACCACCCAUUGAAGAAAAACCCGAGGACCAAGCAGUUGAAGAGAAACCUAAAGAACUAACAGUUGAAGAGAAACUUGAAGAACCAAUAAUUGAAGAGAAACCUAAAGAACCACCAGUUGGAGAAGAACCCAAAGAACAAAACAGGGAAGAUACUGAAGCUGCCACAGAAAGAAUUGAUGAAUCUGGAACACAUAUAGUAGAGAAAGAAGAAGCUUUGAUAGGAAAACAGACAGAAUUGUUUGUCGAAGAAACAACGAAACUUUGCAAAGAAGUUGAAACUGAGGUAUUAAGUGGCCUUCUAUCAAUGCUUUGAUAUUCUUUCAUGUGCCUAACUAGUCAUAACAAAACCUAUCACUACAAACAGAUAAAAGAACUUAAAGAUGUCAAUGCUGGUGAUGGGACAAAUAAGAAUGUCCUAGGAAAAGAAGAAACAACUCUAGAUGAGCUUCUAACAUCAGCCAAAGAAGAGAUGGCAGCAAAUAACUUUGAAGAAGGCAAAGUGGUUUCAGAAACCCCCAAUCAAGAGGUUAAGUGACCACAUAAGCCUGUUUCCAAUUCAUAUAUCUAACCCCAAGAUAAAACAGAAAUGCUUGCUUUCUCUUUCUUCUAAAUCACUGGAUUGCUCUUUUUAAUUUCUGCAGAACACUCGGCAAGCCAAUCUGACAACAGAAGUGGUUAAAGACACGCGUGGAGCAGAGAACUUCAUUGCACUUUCUUCAGAAGAAAAGAGGGUGGAGGACUCUACUGAAAAGGUAAAUGAACAAAACCUUACAAUAGAUUAGCUGAUUAGCAUCUAGUGAGAAUCUAUGACCACAUAAGCCUGUUUCAAAUUCAUAUAUCUAACCCAACGAAGGUAAAAUAGAAAUGCUUGCUUUCUCUCUUUUUUCUAAAAUCACUGGAUUGCUCUUUUUUAAUUGUGAAGAACUUUCAGCAAGACAAUCUAACCACAGAAGAGGUUAAAGACACAAGUGGAGCAGAGAACUUAAUUGCACUUUCUUCAGAAGAAAAGAGGGUGGAGGACUCUACAGAAAAGGUAAACAUGCAAGAUCUUACAAGGAAUUAGCCGAUAAGCAUCUACUGAGAAUCUACGAGUUUGUUGCAUGCUUAUGAGCCUAGAAGUUCAAUUUUCCUGCUGCAUGAUAUUUUCAGAACAACAACAACGACAACAACUAAGCCACAACUCCAAGUUAGUUAAGGUCACAAAUCCCUAGAGGAAUAUAUAUUAUUCUCAGUUUCUGUUCCCUUCUGCAAAAAGAGGAUUGAGGAGAUGUUGCUGUGAGAGCACUAUAUACGGAAAACUGCAUGAAACAUUUCGUGUAAGCAGGCAGAGUAUGACAUGAAUGACGAUUUGCUACCUGCUACAAGAAAUCGCAAUUCUAAAUUUAAAAAGUUGGAACUAAAUUAUAACAGUAAAAUAAGUUAUAGAAAAACUAGCAAAACAGAACUUGAUGUUUCCCCUUCCGAUACAACCACUAAAGAAGCAUGAAUAGAACUUACGAAUUAUCUCGAGUUGAAUCAAAGCUAGAAGCAGCAUAUGCACUGCAAUCAUGUUUUGUCGCGUCAUGCAAUCCUGCUAGCAGUCUCCAGAAAUCUCUCUAUUUCCUCACCCUUUCAGUUAUUUCUGGAUACCAACCAAAUUAGAAAUUACUCAUUCUAC
rnacentral:lncRNA from 1 species